AGGGCGGGGGGGCCCCGUCGCCGUCCCGCAGACCGGAGCGCACCUCUGCCCGCGGGCCCGGCCGUCCUCGCUGCGGAUCGUCCCGCCUCUCUCUCGUGUCUCUCGUCCUUGUACCGAGCUCGGUGUUGAUCUCGGCGCGUCCCGCACGGAAGGAGGUUGUGGUGGGGCUGGCUGUGGAGCAGAGAGAGGGGCAGAAAAAAACCAGGCUGGAAGGAAACCGCUUGGUUUGGCAUCCUCCGCCUUAAGAAACGCGCCAUUUGGGACCUAUCCUGCUGGACUCCGCGCUGGGGGAGACACACAGCCGUGCUUUUUAAAAUUUUUUUGCCUUUUUAAAAAACAAAAAACAAAAAACAAACAUCUGCCCUCCUCCGCACCUGUCUUCUGCAUGGUUUUAGUUCCCUUGCCGUCUUCUUGAUUAUUUUUUGUUUUUUAAUAUUUUUUUCCUUUUUAAAUUAUCCGAGGAGAUGAAACCGGAUUUCUAAACUUCUCCUCCGACUGUUGCGAAUGCUAUAGAGCAGUUUUGUCUGGAACCACCCGCUUCUUCCCCAAGAUGGGCUCAUUUUGAGGAAUGCUUCCCAACUACUUGGGGUCCAUGAAUCCUCAGGCUGCUCUAGAGCUUAGUAUCCAGUUGAGGUUUCAACUUGUGGACUCCAAACUCUUUGGCCACAGAAGUGUCUAUGAAUUAUUAUUUCAAAGAAAGUAAUGAAAAGCUGCAAAGAACACCAAAUCUGGACUAAACUCCCAUUAAGCAUUUUUAUAUCCUUGGCUGUUGUAAGAGAAUUUUUGUAGAGCAACCAUGGUUACUAUUAUAAUCUAGUGAGCUGCCUAAGUCAUGCUUUUUCACAGGCCCUCUUUACACUCAUUUAUGACUUAAUGAUUUGUUAUCACUUCAGAGAUGGUUUCUAACUCUCAUUUUAGUAUUUUUGCUGCGCUUUAAGUUUCCUGGAAAAAGGGUUACAAGACACGUUGUGUUAUUACUGAUGUGUGUUUCUUGGUCGUUUAAAAAGAUGAGGACCAAAGGCGCAUGUUUUAGUGAUAUGUUUUUGACAAAACAGUACAAAACUCCUAAAUGCUGAUAUAUACUUGGUUGGGUUGUAGGAAUCUUAUUCUGUUUGGAUCCUUUUGUGGUUUUUGUCAUGAUGACUUGUUUAUGGAGAUGCUUUCACACAAAUGAAAAUUUCUUGGACAAUGUAUAGAUAUUAAGACAAUUUUUCAAGUUAAGAUAGUGAAAUAUUGUUGUGUUUUUCCCACUGGGUAUAAAUUGGUGUAAAGUUAUUUGGUAUAUAACCUUGUUGUCUUAAGAUGUGGCCAGGCUAGGCGCUUCCUUUUUUUUAAGAAAAAAAAAGUUCUUGUGUUAGUUCACACAAGGUAAACCUCUGGUUAGGACAAGGCAAUUUGCAUUAAAAUUGCAAGUGUGCAGGUCAAGGUAAAUUGUAGGCUCCCCCUAGUGUUUAGUUCUGCCUGAUUUUAAUGUGAGGUAACCAUGAACCGCAUGGUCUUCACUAGGAUUUGAUGUUGCGUUAGCUAAAUUUGUGAUAAUAAAUACGAAGGAACACGUGUUGAAACAACGCAGUUUGAGGUGAGCACCUAAGGGGAGCAGUAACAUUCACAUGGACUCAAAAACUGAAGCCAAGGGUUGUGGUGGGAGGGGAGGUAGAUCAGACUAGUUAAAAUAAUUAUGUGCGAGUAAAAGACCCUUAUUUCUUUCAGUGAUAAAAGCUGGAGUAAUCUCUUGUUAUACAUAUAUUGGGAGGGUUGGUAUGUGAUCAGUGGCUUUCUGCAGUACUGGGAAGUCUUAACAGCAAAAACAGAAACAUAACCCCAAGAAAUAUUGAAUUAUCAGCACUAUAUUACAAGUAAUCCUUCUAGUUAAGCUGUAUCAGCCUAACAGGGAAAAAGGCCAGAUAUGUAAUCACGCACCUGUACGCUUUUUAACUUGAAAAUCCAGCUUGUAACGUUGUGUUGUGAUGCGUAUAACUUUGUGCUCGAGGACCAGAGCAUGUGGCAGUUACUCUAGUGACUUUGGGCUGUACAAGAGUGUUUAUCAUCCACUUUGAAGAGGGCUAUCUGUAUCGGAGUCAUCUCAAGUGUUGCAAUACGCUCCCAAAGACUGAUGUGUCAGAGAAGCUGCAUCCAUCAGGGACUUGGAUAAUUAUGCAACCACGUAACUCUUGGCACCAUCACUUUUUCCAAAACAAUUUAGGACUCAUUUUUAAUUAAUCCACUUCUAAAGUCAAAAUAAUCCAUUUUUUUUCCCAAACAGUCUGGUGAAUCCUCAGUGUGCUCAUUACUGGGGAGAGAUUACUUGUGAGAUUUUUUUUCAGUGUUUUCAGACCAGAACUGAAGAAACAGUAUAGGAGAACAUUUUUUUUUAAUGAAAAAGAGUAAACUAGAAAAUGGGAUUAAUCGCUGUAAUAUGAUUUGAGUUUAGCUGCCUUUUCAGAAGGCCAAUGAAUAAUUCUAGGGAAGCGUGCCAUCUUGAAGAUGGGACAACAGACAUUGUGCAACCACUCAGUGGCUUACUUGCACAAAAUAGUUAUAGGUUGUGGGUUCUUGGGAUUUAGGCAAAAGUUCUUGUUUGUAAACUGGGUUAACAAAAAGCUUGUUAACUUUUACCUUUAACACCACUGCAGUUCUACAUCAUGCUACAAAAUGGUGGAGCUGUACACAUUCUACCUUCCUGUGCUCUUGAAAUGUUCUCAGUCUUCUCUCUGUGGACAAUCCUCGUUAAUGUUGAUUUUGGUGAGCCUCAGUCAAACUUCACUGAUGCAGCUUCGCAGUGAUAUUUUAAGGUGUAAUUACUACUUUUAUAUAAACAGUGUAAUAAUUGUUUUGAAACCUGUGACACUUACUGUGCAACUGCAACCUGUGGUAUGGAAAAUCUUGUCAUGUGGAAUUCUCAUCUCAAUAAAGGAAUAAAGUAUUAAAGAGACAUUUAUGAGACUAAUCAAGACAGUGGCGGUUCAAAAUGGAUGGCACAACAUUAAAGAAUAAACUUACAGCAUGCUCAAAGUGUAAGACAAGUGAAAAUUAAGCUGUUAACA